UGCAAUUAUUGUUCAAUUGCAGUUCUUGUUCAAACUUACUCCAAAUCUCCACCAAAUGAUUUUAAAUUUUGUAGAACAACUUCCUUGGACUAUUUCCAACAAGCAUAAACAAGAUCCUCUCCAAAUUUCUCACAAAUAUUAAAUUCUACUUCUUCAAGCUUUUUUAGCAAAGGUCGAUAAUCUUUCUAAUUGAAUUUUCAACCCAAUCUUACAAAAUCAGUACUCUAACUAUGAUUUAAGCUCCAAACACCAACAAUAAAUCGAGUUUGUCAAUUAACGAUCAGGAGGGGGCAAGAAGGAAAAUAGGGGAAAGUGACCUAACUUUGAAAUUAUAUUAUACAAUAUGGGCAAAUUCGGAUAAGGGCUGAAAAACGUGGCUCAUUUUAUUUGGGGGAUUCAGGGUGACAUCGCUUCUUAAACAAAUAGAAUGCUCUUUGACGUGGUCAUGUGUUUUUGCACUUCAUUCAUCUGUUGAGCCAAGCAGAGUGUAAUUCAGAAAGUAAGGGGAACUAUGAAAUUUCAUGGAUAAUGUAUGCCAGCUGAAAAAGAAUAUAGUCGUGCAGACAAGAGUUUAGCGAAGACUAUCAAUACAAAUAAAUUCGACUGACC